rnacentral:snRNA from 1 species
GUGCUCGCUUUGGCAGCACAUAUACUAAAAAUGGGAAUGAUACAGAGAAGAAUAGCAUGGCCCCUGUGCCAGGAUGACAUGCAAACUCAUGAAGAAUUUCAUAUUAAA